rnacentral:misc_RNA from 1 species
GAUGAAGAACGUAGCGAAAUGCGAUACUUGGUGUGAAUCGCAGAAUCCCGUGAACCAUCGAGUCUUUGAACGCAAGUUGCGCCCGAAGCCAUUAGGCCGAGGGCACGCCUGCCUGGGUGUCACACGUCGUUGCCCCCCCAUCUACUCCUUCGGGAUUGCGGGGGGCGGAUGAUGGCCUCCCGUGCGCCUCGUCGCGCGGUUGGCAUAAAUGCCAAGUCCUCGGCGACGCACGCCACGACAAUCGGUGGUUGCGAAACCUCGGUUGCCCGUCGUGUGCGGUCGUCGCGCAUCGAGGGCUCGAAAAAAUUGCCGGGCUCCGGCUCGGCUUUCAACGCGACCCCAGGUCAGGCGGGGUUACCCGCUGAAUUUAAGCAUAUCAAUAAGCGGAGGA